rnacentral:rRNA from 1 species
UAAUACAUGCAAGUCGAACGAACUUCCGUUAAUUGAUCAGGACGUGCUUGCACUGAAUGAGAUUUUAACACGAAGUGAGUGGCGGACGGGUGAGUAACACGUGGGUAACCUGCCCAGAAGCAGGGGAUAACACCUGGAAACAGAUGCUAAUACCGUAUAACAGAGAAAACCGCCUGGUUUUCUUUUAAAAGAUGGCUCUGCUAUCACUUCUGGAUGGACCCGCGGCGCAUUAGCUAGUUGGUGAGGUAACGGCUCACCAAGGCGAUGAUGCGUAGCCGACCUGAGAGGGUAAUCGGCCACAUUGGGACUGAGACACGGCCCAGACUCCUACGGGAGGCAGCAGUAGGGAAUCUUCCACAAUGGACGCAAGUCUGAUGGAGCAACGCCGCGUGAGUGAAGAAGGGUUUCGGCUCGUAAAGCUCUGUUGUUAAAGAAGAACGUGGGUGAGAGUAACUGUUCACCCAGUGACGGUAUUUAACCAGAAAGCCACGGCUAACUACGUGCCAGCAGCCGCGGUAAUACGUAGGUGGCAAGCGUUAUCCGGAUUUAUUGGGCGUAAAGCGAGCGCAGGCGGUCUUUUAAGUCUAAUGUGAAAGCCUUCGGCUCAACCGAAGAAGUGCAUUGGAAACUGGGAGACUUGAGUGCAGAAGAGGACAGUGGAACUCCAUGUGUAGCGGUGAAAUGCGUAGAUAUAUGGAAGAACACCAGUGGCGAAGGCGGCUGUCUGGUCUGUAACUGACGCUGAGGCUCGAAAGCAUGGGUAGCGAACAGGAUUAGAUACCCUGGUAGUCCAUGCCGUAAACGAUGAUUACUAAGUGUUGGAGGGUUUCCGCCCUUCAGUGCUGCAGCUAACGCAUUUAAGUAAUCCGCUGGGAGUACGACCGCAGGUUGAAACUCAAAAGAAUUGACGGGGGCCCGCACAAGCGGUGG